UACGUAGGGCGCAAGCGUUAUCCGGAAUUAUUGGGCGUAAAGAGCUCGUAGGCGGUCUGUCGCGUCGGAUGUGAAAAUCCAGGGCUUAACCCUGGGCCUGCAUUCGAUACGGGCAGACUAGAGUUCGGUAGGGGAGACUGGAAUUCCUGGUGUAGCGGUGAAAUGCGCAGAUAUCAGGAGGAACACCGGUGGCGAAGGCGGGUCUCUAGGCCGACACUGACGCUGAGGAGCGAAAGCGUGGGGAGCGAACAGG
rnacentral:rRNA from 1 species